AACGCACGAGACCUGCGGACCUGCGGAAGGAUCAUUACUGAGAGUUACAACUACAAACCCUUGUGAACCAUCUACGUUGCUGCCUCGGCAGGUAAUCCCAGGGCGGGAUUCUAGGCUUCUUAGGGAGCACCUGCCAGCGGUAUACUCUUUCAAACUCUGAAAUACAGUGUAAUUCUGAGUGUUAAAAAAAAUAAAUCAAAACUUUUAGCAAUGGAUCUCU
rnacentral:misc_RNA from 1 species